UACGUAGGGUGCAAGCGUUGUCCGGAUUCAUUGGGCGUAAAGCGCGCGUAGGCGGACCGGAAAGUCGGUUGUGAAAUCCCUGGGCUCAACCCAGGAACUGCAUCCGAAACUCCCGGUCUCGAGUGACGGAGAGGAUAGUGGAAUUCCCGGUGUAGAGGUGAAAUUCGUAGAUAUCGGGAGGAACACCAGUGGCGAAGGCGGCUAUCUGGACGUCCACUGACGCUGAGGCGCGAAAGCGUGGGGAGCAAACAGG
rnacentral:rRNA from 1 species